CAUUUUGGACAUCUUCAGAAUCUUUCAAGCCACCUACAUUCAAGCUGUCGGGCUAAUUCCGAUAAAGACGACGCCAAAUUUAAGAUCCGACGGAGAUUUCACAUUAACGAUAUGGCCAAAGAGAACAACUCCUCCGCUAUGGAUGUGGACAACUAGAAUUCGGAAUCCGAUGAUCAGAUUAAUAGCCCUAGGUUCUCUAUCAAUGUUUUGCAGCUCUUGAAAUCGGCUCAGAUGCAGCAUGGAUUGCGGUUUGGCGAUUACGCUCGUUACCGGAGGUACUGUACUGCUCGGCUCAGGAG